GUGCUCACUGUGGCAACAUAUACUAACAAUGGAACAAUAGAGAGAUUAUUAGCAUGGCCAAUGUGUGAGGAUGACAUCCAAUUCAAGUGUGGGAGAGAGGGAUA
rnacentral:snRNA from 1 species